AUGAUGCCGUGUGUCAUUACGUCGUGCCGUUACGUCAUUUCGUCGCGUCGUUACGUCAUCACAUUGCGCCGUAACAUAACUCCGUUGGGGCUCGCUGCCGGCAGCAGUGAGAGGAGCACGCCGGGGAAAUGUUUGCAGGAGGUACGUUGUAGUACGCCGCGGAAUAUCGUAAUUUAAACACUCUGGAACUAAAUGCAUUACAGUAACCUAAUGUUGAAACAUAGGAGCCGACUACCGGAGCCGCUGAUCAUACGAUUCGGAGACCUAGUCUAAAUGAAUCAUGGAAUUGGCCAGGUGAUGGCGAGAAGUAUAAGAGUAUAGUCAAGUUUGAAGAUCCUUGGAAACCUCCACUGCUUUGGUCGGGCUGGUAGGAGGCUCCUUGGCACAGGCGCUCCUCUCUCUCUGCCCUUACACUCAAUUAACAUUCCACACCUACAUUACACACAUUCACCCAUUAAUACAGACUGUUCCCUAAAACUUAUUUAUUGUCAAUUUGUAUAUAUAUAUGAUCGGAACUGUACAUAUUGUAUUGUUGUAUAUGAAUGGCCAUUUGUAUUUUGUUAAAUAAUUCUGGUAAUGGUUCACAAUUAUAUGGUGUCACCAAACUUAAA